AGCGAACGCUGGCGGCAGGCUUAACACAUGCAAGUCGAGCGCCCCGCAAGGGGAGCGGCAGACGGGUGAGUAACACGUGGGAACGUACCCUUCAGUUCGGAACAACCCAGGGAAACUUGGGCUAAUACCGGAUACGUCCGUAAGGAGAAAGAUUUAUCGCUGAAGGAUCGGCCCGCGUCUGAUUAGCUAGUUGGUGAGGUAAUGGCUCACCAAGGCUACGAUCAGUAGCUGGUCUGAGAGGAUGAUCAGCCACAUUGGGACUGAGACACGGCCCAAACUCCUACGGGAGGCAGCAGUGGGGAAUAUUGGACAAUGGGGGCAACCCUGAUCCAGCCAUGCCGCGUGAGUGAUGAAGGCCCUAGGGUUGUAAAGCUCUUUUAGCGGGGAAGAUAAUGACGGUACCCGCAGAAAAAGCCCCGGCUAACCUCGUGCCAGCCGCCGCAGUAAUAC
rnacentral:rRNA from 1 species